rnacentral:lncRNA from 1 species
UAAGGCGGGUUUAAGACCUGAGCCAACUCCCCGUGCUUACCGUGGGGAGUGAGUGACUGUACAAGCACCGUGUUAUGCGGUGGUGCGCACGGCGUCGCCCAUGUGCACGCACAGCCCGGUGCGCUCGGUGCAAGCUCCUCACCGUUGUCGUGCUAAGGUUGGCACUCAGCCAGCUUGGAGUAUGCCCGCUCAGCAUUCCUGCCCUCCAGUGCGCCUCCAUAGCCCAGUAUGUCCUGUGCCUGCUCCGCGCACUCUCCCUCCAGUGCGCCACCAUAGCCCAGUACGUCCUGUGCCUGCUCCUCGCACUCUUCCUCCAGUGCGCCUCCAUAGCCCAGUGUGUCCUGUGCCUGCUCCGUGCACUCUCCCUCCAGUGCGCCUCCCUAGCCCAGUAAGUCCUGUGCCUGCUCCUCGCACUCUUCCUCCAGUACGCCUCCAUAGCCCAGUACGGCCGGUGCCUGCUUUGAGCACUCGGUCCUCAGUGAGUCUCCCCAGUCCAGUGAGACCUGUUCCAGCUCCACGAAUAAAGCCUCCAGUGAUAAUUGAGGGUCCGAAGCCUGUAGAGAUGAUCAAUGGCACGAAGCCUCUAGUGAUGAUCCAUGGCCCGGAGCCUGUAGAGAUAAUCCAUGGCAAGAAGCGUGUAGGGAUUAUCCAUGGUCCGGAGCCUGUAGGGAUAAUCCAUGGCACGAAGCCUGUAGGGAUAAUCCAUGGCCCGGCACCUGUAGAGAUGAUCCAUGGCACGAAGCCUCCAGUGAUGAUCCAGGGCACGGAACCUGUAUUGAUGAUCCAAGGCAUGGAGCCUGCAACAAUGCUCCUCAGUCCAGAGCCUCCAGUGACGCUCCUCAGUCUGGAGCCUCCAGCAACGCUCCUCAGUCCAGAGCCUCCAGCGACGCUCCUCAGUCCGGAGCCUCCAGCGACGCUUCCCAGUCCGGAGCCUCCAGCGACGAUUUCCUGUCCGGAGCCUCCAGCGACACUUCCCAGUCCAGAGCCUCCUGCGACGCUCCCCAGUCCGGAGCCUCCAGCGACGCUCCCCAGUCUGGAGCCUCCAGCGACGCUCCCCAGCCCAGAGUCUUCAGCGACGGUCCGCAGCC